rnacentral:rRNA from 1 species
GUAAAAGUCGUAACAAGGUCUCCGUUGGUGAACCAGCGGAGGGAUCAUUAAAGAGUUAUUUAACUCCCAAAACCACUGUGAACUUAC